GAUGAACGCUGGCGGCGUGCCUAAUACAUGCAAGUCGAGCGAACAGACGAGGAGCUUGCUCCUCUGACGUUAGCGGCGGACGGGUGAGUAACACGUGGAUAACCUACCUAUAAGACUGGGAUAACUUCGGGAAACCGGAGCUAAUACCGGAUAAUAUAUUGAACCGCAUGGUUCAAUAGUGAAAGACGGUUUUGCUGUCACUUAUAGAUGGAUCCGCGUCGCAUUAGCUAGUGGGUAAGGUAACGGCUUACCAAGGCAGGGUUCCGUAGCCGACCUGGGGGGGUGGUCGCCAAAAUGGGACUUGAAACCGGCCCAAGCCUCCACCGGGAGGAGCCGGAGGGAAUCCUCGGCAAGGGGCGAAAGGCUGGCCGAGGAACGCCGGGGGAGGGAAGAAGGUUGUCGGAUCGUAAAACUCUGUUGAUAGGGAAGAAAGAUGUUGAGAGUGGAAAGCUCAUCAAGUGACGGUAACUAACCAGAAAGCGACGGCUAACUACGUG
rnacentral:rRNA from 1 species